CCUACGGGCGGCAGCAGUGGGGGAUAUUGCACAAUGGGGGAAACCCUGAUGCAGCGACGCCGCGUGGGUGAAGAAGUAUUUCGGUAUGUAAAGCUCUAUCAGCAGGGAAGAAAGAAGACGGUACCUGACUAAGAAGCCCCGGCUAACUACGUGCCAGCAGCCGCGGUAAGACGUAGGGGGCGAGCGUUAUCCGGAUUCACUGGGUGUAAAGGGAGCGUAGACGGUAUGUCAAGUCAAGGGUGAAAUCCCCGCGCUCAACGUGGGAACUGCCUUUGAAACUGGCAAACUGGAGUGUGUGAGAGGAUAGUGGAAUGCCAGGUGUAGGAGUGAAAUCCGUAGAUAUCUGGAGGAACAUCAGUGGCGAAGGCGACUAUCUGGCAGAUAACUGACGCUGAGGAGCGAAAGCGUGGGUAGCAAACAGGAUUAGAUACCCCAGUAGUC
rnacentral:rRNA from 1 species